rnacentral:rRNA from 1 species
CCUACGGGAGGCAGCAGUGAGGAAUAUUGGUCAAUGGACGAGAGUCUGAACCAGCCAAGUAGCGUGAAGGAUGACUGCCCUAUGGGUUGUAAACUUCUUUUAUAUGGGAAUAAAACGUUCCACGUGUGGGAUUUUGUAUGUACCAUAUGACUAAGGAUCGGCUAACUCCGUGCCAGCAGCCGCGGUAAUACGGAGGAUCCGAGCGUUAUCCGGAUUUAUUGGGUUUAAAGGGAGCGUAGGUGGAUUGUUAAGUCAGUUGUGAAAGUUUGCGGCUCAACCGUAAAAUUGCAGUUGAAACUGGCAGUCUGGAGUACAGUAGAGGUGGGCGGAAUUCGUGGUGUAGCGGUGAAAUGCGUAGAUAUCACGAAGAACUCCGAUUGCGAAGGCAGUUCACUGGACUGCAACUGACACUGAGCCGCGAAAGUGUGGGUAUCAAACAGGAUUAGAUACCCGAGUAGUC